AUCAUCUGUAACAUCUAUUAUUGUAUAACAUGAGUUAUACGAUCAUCGCACAAACAUAAAUAAGCAAAGGUUAGCUAAUAAAAGAAAGACACAAGAUGAACAUACAAAAAAUCCUAACUCACCCACAUCACUCAAACACACCAUACCAAUCCAUGAAAAGUAAAACCACAACCAUCAAAUUCACCAAUUUGUAUCACCUCUAAGUAAUACCCAAACAAUAUAUCUUUUCUGUAACAUGCUACCACUUUGCCUACAAUUACACAAUAGUGCAUAGUUAUUAGGAUAUAAUAAGUUGUACAUUAAAAUAUUAUAAUUGAGUUU
rnacentral:lncRNA from 1 species